CCGUGCUAGACGGGGAGGUAGCGGUGCCCUGAACCUGCAAUCCGCUAUAGCAGGGUUGAAUUCUCGGGCUGAGGCUCUGUUCGGUCAGAGUCUGGCCUGGAUAAGUGGUGUUGAAGGCCGGGUCCUAUGCGACGCAGACCCAUGAAUUCCGUCAGGUCCGGAAGGAAGCAGCGGUAAGUGGGCUUCUUGCGGGUGCCAUGGGGUCACCUGGCCGGAGCUAACUGUUCGGGUAACGUCUGACCGAAAGAGUCGAUGCCGAGUGCACGG
rnacentral:SRP_RNA from 1 species